GGGCGGGCGCGGCGGAGGCGGGGCCCGCGCCGGGCCCGCCCGCUCGCCGGGGGAGCCGCCGGCAGUGGCCGAGAAGGCGGCGCGGCGGACGGCGGCCCGAGAGUAGCGCCCGCGCUGCGGCCCGCGGGACCGCGCCGCGACCGCCGGGGCCGGCCUCGAGGAGCGCCCGCUGCCGCCGCCGCCGCGCGCGGAGCGAGCAGGAGAUGUGGGACAUGUGGAUUUGGGAUGUGAAUUCAUUUGAAAAGCCACUUUGGGUAGAUGUGGUCAGCAUAGCUAAGGAAGGCCAGUGGGUCAGAAGUAGCCAAGGUACUCCUCACCUAGUAAAAGUUCCCUAGUAGGUGGCAUUUGGAGAAGGCAGUGGCACCCCACUCCAGUACUCUUGCCUGGAAAAUCCCAUGGACGGAGGAGCCUGGA
ensembl:lncRNA